rnacentral:rRNA from 1 species
AUUGAACGCUGGCGGCAGGCCUAACACAUGCAAGUCGAGCGGAGCGGCGGACGGGUGCGUGAUGCCUAGGAAUGUGCAUGGUCGUGGGGGAUAACGUCCGGAAACGGGCGCUAAUACCGCAUACUAUCAGAUGAGCCUAGAUCGGAUUGGCUAGGUGGUGGGGUAAAGGCCUACCAAGGCGACGAUCCGUAACUGGUCUGAGAGGAUGAUCAGUCACACUGGAACUGAGAAACGGCCCAGACUCCUACGGGAGGCAGCAGUGGGGAAGAUUGGACAAUGGGCGAAAGCCUGAUGCAGCCAUGCCGCGUGUGUGAAGAAGGCCUUCGGAUUGUAAAGCACUUUAAGUUGGGAGGCGUUACCAACAGAAUAAGCACCGGCUAACUCCGUGCCAGCAGCCGCGUUAAUAC